UAAGACACAUAUAGCAGGAAACAUUAAUCACGAUCUUGGCCUGUUCUGAUCAUUACGUGUAUUAUCAAAUGACGAAAACAUCCCACUCCCUUAGGCCUUAGCAGCUUACUGUAUAUGCGCACGCGUCAAGGUCAAGAUGCACUUGGAAUUAAUGGCCUAUAAAUAGGAGUGUAGGGAAAGGGUCUUUGCACAUACAGAUCAUCAUCAAUCCAACCAACAAUAUAUCGUCCUAAAAUGAAGGCUAUCGUUAUCAUUUGCAUUCUGCUGGCUUCCCUUCUUUUCUCGUCCCCUUCAAUUAUUGUGGCUCGCGAGCUGGCUGAUCCGCGGGAUGGAAGUUCUCUGUUAUUCGGACGAAAGAAUCCCGACAUAGGACAACAACAGCCCUACAAGUGGGAACCAAAGCCACCUCAAGGACCUUGAAUCAGUAGUACUCAUGUAAUGCUUUGAGAAUAAAUAUUAAUAUUGUAAUGGAGCUGGAUCGAUCGAGCUUGCUUCCUUUGCAGUAUGGAAACAUAUAUGUAAAAUAUGCUGCAUCUUGAUAUGCUGUCGUGUGCCAAUAAAAAGAUCGAGCUGACCUAAUACAUUAAGUAUUUAAUAAAUUUUUUUUCUUAAUGUUAUAGAUCUA